CAGUUAUGAGAAGAAACAGAGUAGAUGCUGAGUUACCUGCUGUACACACCUUCCCAUGUUCAAACCCAGAGUGGUGUUGUGUCACUGGUGCAGCAGUGUAGCUCAUGACUUUAGCAUUUGGAUCAAGAAAGCAAAAUGUACUUCAGAUCUCUAACAAAAAGUUGGAAGGCAAGCGUGACUUAGAAAUUUAAUGAUACUGAAGAGAGAAGACAGAUAUCAACUUUUGUGAUACAGACAACAUAGUUUCACAAUUGUUCACUUUUCAUUUUAUGGAGUAUCCUUGUAGAACAUAUAAUGUCAUUUCUAAAAUCUCAGGAUGGAUAUAGAGGUGAAACAUAAAAGCAAGGUCCCAGGUUGUACAUUAGUAAAUCAAUAUAGCUUUGUGUAUCAAAGGGAAUUUAAAGAAUGUGUCUACUUGUUGAGGGCAAGUUGGUAAAAUGUAACGAAAAGAUGGAAUUGGAAAUGUUCACAUCAACAGGGUUGGAAAGGUCAAGAGGAAAACAUGAAAAGUAAAUAUCAGGGUAUAUUUGUAGGAUUUGAAGACUUUGUAGCAGCUGUACCAAUUCAGAGGGACCAGCUUUUGAGUGGUUACCAAGUUCAUGUUCAUGUUAAUGUUCCAAUACAUGACUACUUGUAAAUAAAAGAUGACCUACAGUAGGUAAUUCGUGGAAAACCUGAGCUGGAUUGAAAUUACCACAAGUAUGGAAUUUCUCAUACAUUUCUCUUGUAGAU